GUGUCCUCUCCAUAACCACUGAGCACACAAGGUCCUCACCAUGGGAUGGAGCUGGAUUAUCCUCUUCCUGGUGGCAGCAACUAUAGGUGUCCACUCCCAGGUCCAGCUGCAGCAGUCUGGUCCAGAGCUGAGGAAACCUGGGUCUUCAGUGAAGUUGUCCUGCAAGGCUUCAGGCUACAGCUUCACUGGCUACUAUAUGAACUGGGUGAUGCAGAAGUCUGGACAGGGCCUGGAGUGGAUUGGAAGAAUUGAUCCUGGAAAUGGUGGUACUAACUACAAUCAGAAGUUCAAGGCCAAGGCCAAACUGACUGCAGACAUAUCCUCCAGCACAGCCUACAUGGAGCUCAGCAGCCUGACAUCUGAGGACUCUGCGGUCUAUUACUGUGCAAGACACAGUGUUACAACCACAUCCUGA